ACUGAAGAACUGAGCUAAUUGGUUCAAAAGACUUUAUCCAACAGUGACUAUUGUUGUGCUACUAUCAUGGACCAGAUGCUUCAAGGAUGUCAAUGUUGGGUAUUGCCAGGCACUGUUUGCAGCAUCUUCCCAAUGACAGUAAUGAGCAAAUAUUUCUUAAGCAACUUCAUCCAAAGCGGUCCAUGUCUUCUUCUAGUGUACACCUUCAAUCUAAUUUGGUUUGUCUUCAAACCCAAGUGGAAGCCCAGGACAACCUUGAACAUAUUAUGUAUUAGAAGACAACCUUGGAUUUUCUGCCACAAUCUUCCAAGUAUGUUCCACCAUACCUAGGUUCUGUGGGGCUGAGGAUCAGAUGGAGACCUUCAAAGCUGCCUUCCCCCUUACCAAGUGAGAUAUUUUUC
rnacentral:lncRNA from 1 species